UACGGGGGGGCAAGCGUUGUUCGGAAUUACUGGGCGUAAAGGGCUCGUAGGCGGCCAACUAAGUCGGAUGUGAAAUCCCCAGGCUUAACCUGGGAACUGCAUCCGAUACUGGAUGGCUUGAAUCCGGGAGAGGGAUGCAGAAUUCCAGGUGUAGCGGUGAAAUGCGUAGAUAUCUGGAGGAAUACCGGUGGCGAAGGCGGGUCUCUGGGCCGAUACUGACGCUGAGGAGCGAAAGCGUGGGGAGCGAACAGG
rnacentral:rRNA from 1 species